rnacentral:tRNA from 1 species
CUGGGUGCAGCUCAGUGGCAGAGCAUUUGUCUGGCAUACACAAGGCCCUGGGUUUGAUGCCCACCACUUAAG